rnacentral:misc_RNA from 1 species
UUCUAAGAUCAGUUGGGAAGAGUUGGGGAAGAAAGAAAGAAAAAGUAAAAAGUUAUUGACUUUUGAAGCUGUAAAUUUGAUAAUUCUGAAGCUUCAUUGAGGAAAUAUAGACUACGAAGUAUUCAAAUUCUUAUCAAUAUAGUAACUUCAAGGUAUUGAACAACCAGGAAAAUGUUUCUCUGAAAGAACAGACCAAAAUGGAGCUUUCGAAGACAAGAAGGAUCAACGGUCCAAGGGAUACAUGAUAAAAAACAGUGUAUUAUAAUUAAGCAGAAAGCGACGUCUUGACGGAUCAUUUAUCAAUGUCGUCUGUCCAGUCUGUUCUAUAAUUACACAGACUAUAGCUUCAGAAAUCGUCUGAGAAGAGACUGCCAGGUAUCCCACCUUCAGUAAUGGAAUCAACUUUGGGUAUUUGCUUGGGGCAAACUUUUUCCACCAAUCUUGUGUUCGAUACUUAGCUUCAGGGGGUGUCUUCACGGACGAAUGGCGUCGAGUGGGCGGUUGAAAAUACAUCAGGUAUUCAACAAUUUCUGGUUAGGUAUGGCAAGAUAACAAAAGAAAAGUCUACUUGUAUAUUUCUAUAUUUUAGAUUACACUUAAUUUUGCUACAGAUAUACUUAUUACUGAGCAAGUUAGUGACGAAAUUCAUAAAUAAAAUGACAGUAAUAAAUAUAUUAAUCAA